GUCUCUGUGGUGUAGUUGGUUAUCACGUGGGUCUCAUACGAAUCAGUAUGACUAGGAGUUUCACUUCUGGGUUAUCCCAAGGCCGGGAGUUCGAACCUCCCCGGGGACA